AACGAACGCUGGCGGCAUGCCUUACACAUGCAAGUCGAACGGUAACAGGUCUUCGGAUGCUGACGAGUGGCGAACGGGUGAGUAAUACGUCGGAACGUGCCUAGUAGUGGGGGAUAACUACUCGAAAGAGUGGCUAAUACCGCAUGAGAUCUACGGAUGAAAGCAGGGGAUCGCAAGACCUUGUGCUACUAGAGCGGCCGAUGGCAGAUUAGGUAGUUGGUGGGAUAAAAGCUUACCAAGCCGACGAUCUGUAGCUGGUCUGAGAGGACGAUCAGCCACACUGGGACUGAGACACGGCCCAGACUCCUACGGGAGGCAGCAGUGGGGAAUUUUGGACAAUGGGCGCAAGCCUGAUCCAGCAAUGCCGCGUGCAGGAUGAAGGCCUUCGGGUUGUAAACUGCUUUUGUACGGAACGAAAAGCCCUGGGUUAAUACCCUGGGGUCAUGACGGUACCGUAAGAAUAAGCACCGGCUAACUACGUGCCAGCCGCCGCGGUAACAC
rnacentral:rRNA from 1 species